rnacentral:ncRNA from 1 species
GCUCCAAAAGUAUAUAUUUAAGUUCUUGCGGUUAAAAAGCUCGUAGUUGGAUUUUGGGCGCAGGCGGCCGGUCCGUCGCAAGGCGUGUACUGGACGUCCUGGCCUUCCCUCCGGUUCUCCGCCGGUGCUCUUGACUGAGUGUCGGCGGCGGCCGGAACGUUUACUUUGAAAAAAUUAGAGUGUUCAAAGCAGGCUCUCGAGCCUGGAUAAUGGUGCAUGGAAUAAUGGAAUAGGACCUCGGUUCUAUUUUGUUGGUUUUCGGAGCGCGAGGUAAUGAUUAAGAGGGACAGACGGGGGCAUUCGUACUGUGCCGUUAGAGGUGAAAUUCUUGGAUCGGCGCAAGACGAACGACUGCGAAAGCAUUUGCCAAGAAUGUUUUCUUUAAUCAAGAGCGAAAGUCAGAGGUUCGAAGACGAUCAGAUACCGUCCUAGUUCUGACUAUAAACGAUGCCAACUAGCGAUCGGGGGGCGUUACAUUGACGACCCCUCCGGCAGCUUACGGGAAACCAAAGUCUUUGGGUUCCGGGGGAAGUAUGGUUGCAAAGCUGAAACUUAAAGGAAUUGACGGAAGGGCACCACCAGGAGUGGAGCCUGCGGCUUAAUUUGACUCAACACGGGAAAUCUCACCCGGCCCGGACACAGUGAGGAUUGACAGAUUGAGAGCUCUUUCUUGAUUCUGUGGGGUGGUGGUGCAUGGCCGUUCUUAAUUGGGUGGAGCGAUUUGUCUGGUUAAUUCC